AUUAGAUACCCUCGGUAGUCCGCACGGUAAACGAUGGAUGCCCGCCGUUGGGUAUUUUUAUUCAGCGGCCAAGCGAAAGCGUUAAGCAUCCCACCUGGGGAGUACGCCGGCAACGGUGAAACUCAAAGGAAUUGACGGGGGCCCGCACAAGCGGAGGAACAUGUGGUUUAAUUCGAUGAUACGCGAGGAACCUUACCCGGGCUUGAAUUGCAGAUGACGGAUCCAGAGAUGGUGACUUCCUUCGGGACAUCUGUGAAGGUGCUGCAUGGUUGUCGUCAGCUCGUGCCGUGAGGUGUCGGCUUAAGUGCCAUAACGAGCGCAACCCUUGCCGUCAGUUGCCAUCAAGUGAAGUUGGGGACUCUGGCGGGACUGCCACCGCAAGGUGCGAGGAAGGGGGGGAUGACGUCAAAUCAGCACGGCCCUUACGUCCGGGGCGACACACGUGUUACAAUGGCAGGUACAGAGGGAUGCUACCGGGCGACCGGAUGCGGAUCUCGAAAGCCUGUCCCAGUUCGGACUGGAGUCUGCAACCCGACUCCACGAAGUUGGAUUCGCUAGUAAUCGCGCAUCAGCCAUGGCGCGGUGAAUACGUUCCCGGGCCUUGUACACACCGCCCGUCAAGCCAUGGGAGCCGGGGGCGCCUGAAGUCCGGGACCGCGAGGACCGGCCUAGGGCGAAACUGGUAACUGGGGCUAAGUCGUAACAAGGUAAC
rnacentral:rRNA from 1 species